rfam:Triticum aestivum genome assembly, contig: Triticum_aestivum_CS42_TGACv1_scaffold_513532_6BS
AUACUACUCCCUCCGUCCAGAAUUACUUGUCGCCGAUAUAGAUAAAAAUGGAUGUAUCUAAAACUAAAACAUGUCUACAUACAUCCAUUUUUUUGACAAGUAUUUUCGGACGGAGGGAGUAUUAA